rnacentral:lncRNA from 1 species
AUGAUCAGUGGUCAGGAGAUGAACCUGGCAGUGAGAUCAUAUUUGAUUUGGUUGAUUCAGAGGAAUCCCUCUGUACAGACUCAUCAGAGAUUCUCACACUGGAAGCUGAGGAGCCCAGUACAGACCCCCUGGAUAAUGCCCUGGAGUUCAACAGACAGCUCCAUGUCUCUCUGCAGAAAAAACAGGAGGAAAUCUCGGCCUUAAAGGAGAAGAACGCUCAGCUGAAGGAGUUAGCCAAGCAGGCCGAGCAUUACGCUAAAAUAAUGGGCGUAAGUGUUUCUUGCGUUUACUUUGACAGACAGAACGAACC